UCGGGAAUAUUGCACAAUGGAGGAAACUCUGAUGCAGUGACACCGCGUAUAGGAAGAAGGUCUUAGGAUUGUAAGCUAUUGUCGUGUGAGAAGAAAAUGACCAUCACAGGAGGAAGCCCUGGCUAAAUAUGUGCCAGCAGCCGCGGUAAUACAUAUGGGGCGAGCGUUAUCCGGAUUUAUUGGGUGUAAAGGGUGCGUAGGCGGGAAAAUAAGUCAGUAUGUGAAAUCCCUCGGCUCAACUGAGGAACUGCAACUGAAACUAUUUUUCUUGAGUGUUGAAGGGGAAAGUGGAAUUCCUAGUGUAGCGGUGAAAUGCGUAGAGAUUAGGAGGAACACCAAGUGGCGAAGGCGACUUUUCUGGGCAACAACUGACGCUGAGGCACGAAAGUGUGGGGAGCAAACAGGAUUAGAUACCCUGGUA
rnacentral:rRNA from 1 species